AGGUGAUACCUACAACACCUUUAUCAAUAUAGGUACUCGAUCAUGCUGUGGGAGAAAUUGUGAAACUCCUUAGAUAUAAAUUAUCAAUGGUGUGAUGUGAGGGUGGGUUAGAUGCCCU
rfam:Aneurinibacillus migulanus strain DSM 2895 super7, whole genome shotgun sequence.